GAGCUCGUCUGGAGCACAACUCGUUUCGGAACUAAAUAUAUCAAAAAGUAACAAAAUUAUAAGUAAAGCGACCGAAUUUUAUUGGAACACUUAUCACUACUACACACUACUACACUUGACAUUGCUUUUUCGACGAUGGCAAAUAAUGGACUUGCACUUGUUUUUCAACAAAACUGACGGGGCAAAUGAGAAGACAUACAAAUUGUUUACAACACAGAGGGGAUAGUCGGUGUUCACCAGCUGACAGCCAAUGCCUAGCCAUGUUAGAGCAUAUUGAAGAUCAUUUUAUAUAAUCAAGUUAGGAUUCGCCUUAUAGAAGUUAACCUAUGUUCAAACCGAUGGUACCGGUCCCGCUGGACGAGUAGUUUGCAUCGGUUUUUAAUUAAUUAUUGUUAAAAAAAAAUAAACCAAUCAUCAAACUUUA